GAUGAACGCUGGCGGCGUGCCUAACACAUGCAAGUCGAACGGAAAGACGAGGAACUUUCUUUCUUGACGUUCGCGGCGCGGGGGUGUGAAACAUGUGUGGGAAACACCUAGAUGACGGGGAAAACCUCGUGAAACCGGUGCCUAUACCGGAUAAUAUUCCGAAGCGCAAGGUUGGGUAGUUAAAGACGGCUUUGCUACCACUUAUAGAUGAUGGUGUGCUGUAUUAGCUAGUUGGUAAGGUAACGGAUUACCAAGGCAACGAUACGUAGCAGAGCUGAGAGGGUGAUCGGCCACACUGGAACUGAGACACGGUCCAGACUCCUACGGUAGGCAGCAGUAGGGAAUCUUACACAAUGGGCGAAAGCCUGACGCAGCAACGCCGCGUGUGUGAUGAAGGUCUUCGGAUCGUAAAACUCUUUUAUCAGGGAAGAACAAACUUAUAAUUAAACGUUCACUUAUUGACGGUACCCACACAAAAAGCACCGGCUAACUACGUG
rnacentral:rRNA from 1 species